AUUAUUUGAUGACAGAAAUCUGCGCGCAUUACGGCGGCAGCGCUGUUUCUUAGCAACGCGCCAGGGAUAUUCAAACAAUUUCAUUAAAGCGUGACACCUCUUAGCAGGUGGCUGUGUGCGAGAGGAGAUAAACACAGAGGUGGAAGCGUCGGCGCUAUUUGCCAACAUCACAAUUGAUAACAUCAAUUCAGCAACGUGUUUACAAGCCCUAUGAAAUGAAGCGAGCGUGUAAGAGUCGCUGAACCCCAGACGCCUGCUGUCUGCUGCACAAACACACCCAAACGCUCAGGUAGUGCUGCUAUUCAGAUGGAAAACGCUUGAUUUACAUUCCAAUACCUUCACCGCGUCCUGGGAUCCCGCUGCCUCUGAUGUAAUGCCAGAUGUGUGUGGGGGGGGUAAAUUGGAUGUUUGUCUGAUUCGCUACCUGCAGAAAAUCAAGGCGGUGUAAAAACAACAGAUCCUGAGAGAGAGAGAGAGAGCAGCCGGGGGAAGAUUCAAUGGUGCAAAAUGAGAAUGAUUUACCUCAAAUAUCAAAUAUCAGCGGCCAGGUGACAAAGGUUUCAUCUGGCCUCUGCUCACCUGGUGAAAACUUGAACCUGCCGAAUACACCGGAUAUCUGCUGGUGAUCUGCUGACACGACGUGUGUGUGUGUUAUGUUGAGAAUCGUGUUGAUCAAUAACCAACCUGAACUUCCACAGGUGUUCAUGUUGGCGAUGAUGAAAUCUGCCGACCUCUGACCUCAAUGCAGCUUCUCCCACACGUGUCUCUUUUCUUGUCUAGAAUGCGUCCCAUGAUUCUGUGCUCCAGUGAGACAAAACAACAAACAAAUUUCAAGCUGCACAGAGAAACACCCACAGAGAGAG
ensembl:lncRNA